rnacentral:rRNA from 1 species
GAUGAACGCUGGCGGCGUGCCUAAUACAUGCAAGUCGAGCGGUAAGGCCCUUCGGGGUACACGAGCGGCGGACGGCUGAGUAACACGUAGGAACGUACCCCAAACUGAGGGAUAAGCACCAGAAAUGGUGUCUAAUACCGCAUGUGGCCUUCGGGCUAAAGCCCCGGCGGUUUGGGAACGGCCUGCGUCCGAUUAGCUAGUUGGUAGUGUAAUGGACUACCAAGGCGACGAUCGGUAGCUGGUCUGAGAGGAUGAUCAGCCAGACUGGGACUGAGACACGGCCCAGACUCCUACGGGAGGCAGCAGUAGGGAAUUUUCCACAAUGGGGGCAACCUUGAUGGAGCAACGCCGCGUGCAGGAUGAAGGCCUUCGGGUUGUAAACUGCUUUUAUCUGUGACGAUUAUGACGGUAGCAGAUGAAUAAGGACCUGCUAACUACGUGCCAGCCGCCGCAGUAA